rnacentral:tRNA from 1 species
UAUGUAGCUCAGUUGGUAGAGUGCUUGCCUGGUACACAAAGUUCUGAGUUCUAUCCUCAGCAUA